rnacentral:lncRNA from 1 species
GGGCUGCUGAGGCCCACGCCCCUCCUCUCCACAGGGCCUGCAGCCCUCAGCCAUCACUCGCGGCCCUCCUGCCCCGGCCCCCGCCCUGGGCCCCCAGCCCCAUGUCCCAGGUGUGUCCCCUGACAAGUUCCUGCGUAUUUAAUUCUGCUCAGCCAAAGGACGGGACGGACGGGGUCUUGAAAACGGGUGCUGCCUGGCAGCCAGGACGCAGGUGGAGUGAGUCCAGGUUAGAGCUCCUCCCUGCUGAGGGCAGCCUCGAAACAGCCACCACUCUGCCUCGGUGGCUGGUGUGUCCAGGAGGCGGGGACACGAGUAGGGAGGCCUCUCUCCCCCUGGGCACCAGUUCCUGGCCCUGGUGGGGGCGGCAGAGGACCUGGUGCCUGGACCUGCCACCCCUGCCCGCCCCUGCCGGGCUUGGCCCUCUGCUCCCGGCACCUGGACCUCCCCAGAAUCACCCUGCCUUGCCCUCACGGGGGACAGGAGCCCCAGAGCGACCCGGCCAGCGCCAGAGGGGUCAUUUUGGAGCCAGCUGUGCGGACGCAGACUGGCAGGCCCAGCUCGGCGGGGGAGGAGCCGUGGGGCGCAGCCAGACUCCACACCGGAGGCCAGCUCAGGCGCAGGGGGCACCCGCUUUUCUCCUUCCCAGUGGCCACAAGCCCAGGCCUCUCAUCCCUGCACCUCCCAGAACCCAGUGGCUGGGUCUCCACGCCCUGGCCAGCUGCCAGCCGGGCUGGCUCGGGCACAAAGGCAGCUCUGUUGGGGAACCCGGGUGGAGGCCCAGCUGGCUCCAGAGGGGUCUGCCCCGACCAGCCUUGGCAGGAGGUCCUGGCAGGGCGGUGCCUCAGGAGCACCGAGGGCCAGGCCCUCAGAACGGCAGAGUAGGAGGCCUUAGCUUGGCCCUCGCCUCCCUGGGAGCCCCGAGGUGGCAGCUCAGGAGGGACCCGUGCCCAGCCCUACCGAGAGCUGCCCCAGGAGCACCUGGCUCUGACGGCAGGCAGGGCUGAGCUCGCCCCCAU